UGCCAGCCGCCGCGGUAAUACGGAGGGGGCAAGCGUUGUUCGGAUUUACUGGGCGUAAAGGGCGUGUAGGCGGUUUUGUCAGUCAGGCGUGAAAGCCCCGGGCUCAACCUGGGAACUGCGUUUGAUACUGCAAGACUUGAGGCCGGGAGAGGUGAGUGGAAUUCCCAGUGUAGAGGUGAAAUUCGUAGAUAUUGGGAAGAACACCAGUGGCGAAGGCGACUCACUGGACCGGUUCUGACGCUGAGGCGCGAAAGCGUGGGGAGCAAACAGGAUUAGAUA
rnacentral:rRNA from 1 species